UACGUAGGGUGCAGGCGUUAAUCGGAAUUACUGGGCGUAAAGCGUGCGCAGGCGGUUUGCUAAGACAGAUGUGAAAUCCCCGGGGUCAACCUGGGAACUGCAUUUGUGACUGCAAGGCUAGAGUACGGUAGAGGGGGAUGGAAUUCCGCGUGUAGCAGUGAAAUGCGUAGAUAUGCGGAGGAACACCGAUGGCGAAGGCAAUCCCCUGGACCUGUACUGACGCUCAUGCACGAAAGCGUGGGGAGCAAACAGG
rnacentral:rRNA from 1 species